UCCCUGGUGGCUCAGUGGUAAAGAAUCUGCCUGCCAGUGCAGGAGACACAGGUUCAAUCCCUGAUUUGGGAA
rnacentral:tRNA from 1 species